rnacentral:rRNA from 1 species
AGACCCGAAACCCGGUGAUCUAGCCAUGGGCAGGUUGAAGGUUGGGUAACACUAACUGGAGGACCGAACCGACUAAUGUUGAAAAAUUAGCGGAUGACCUGUGGCUGGGGGUGAAAGGCCAAUCAAACCGGGAGAUAGCUGGUUCUCCCCGAAAGCUAUUUAGGUAGCGCCUCGUGAAUUCAUCUCCGGGGGUAGAGCACUGUUUCGGCUAGGGGGCCAUCCCGGCUUACCAACCCGAUGCAAACUGCGAAUACCGGAGAAUGUUAUCACGGGAGACACACGGCGGGUGCUAACGUCCGUCGUGAAGAGGGAAACAACCCAGACCGCCAGCUAAGGUCCCAAAGUCAUGGUUAAGUGGGAAACGAUGUGGGAAGGCCCAGACAGCCAGGAUGUUGGCUUAGAAGCAGCCAUCAUUUAAAGAAAGCGUAAUAGCUCACUGGUCGAGUCGGCCUGCGCGGAAGAUGUAACGGGGCUAAACCAUGCACCGAAGCUGCGGCAGCGAACGUAUCACCCAAGACAACUUUACGGAGUUGACGAUUGACGGAGCGAAGCGACGUCAAAGCGUUCAUUAAAGUCGAGUUGGCUUAGGGAUACGUUCGUUGGGUAGGGGAGCGUUCUGUAAGCCUGCGAAGGUGACCUGUGAGGGUUGCUGGAGGUAUCAGAAGUGCGAAUGCUGACAUAAGUAACGAUAAAGCGGGUGAAAAGCCCGCUCGC